AUUUUGGACUUUUCAACUAUCUCUUUGGGCUCACUGCUGACAGAGGGAAGCAAAAAGUUUCCAAGCAGACAGAAUGUCACUCUGUCACCCAGGCUGGAGUGCAGUGGCGCUGUCUCAGCUCACUGCGACCCCCACCUCCUGGGUUCAGGCAAUUCACCUGCCUCAGCCUCCCGAGUAGCUGGGACUACAGCCAUGUGCCACCAUGCCCUGCUAAUUUUUGUCUUUUCAGUAGAGAUGGGGGUUUCACCACACUGGCCAGGAUGGUCUUAAACUCCUGACCUCAAGUGAUCCACCCACCUCGGCCUCCCAAAGUGCUGGGAUUACAGAUGUGAGCCGUUGCACCAGGCCCCUCACCCAUUUUCCUAAGGUAAUAGUUCCCUUCAAAAAUUAAAACAUUUUGGAUUUUGUUAUUUUUUAGAAUCAUGAAAACGGUCUUGAAUAUACGAUGUCUGAAAAUUGCUAUUAACUCAAAAUAGUAUAUAAACCUAGGAAAUUAUUAACAUAUAUUGGCAUUUACUAAUGAUCCUGGUAGAGUCAGAUAACAGCAUAUUAGAAGCCACAGUACGGGGAUAAUUCACAAUACACUGCUAGGUAUAAUGAGUGUCCACACCCCAACCCCCUUUUCUUAGUAUAUUAAGAUUUAAAAUUGGUAAUAUUCACUGUUAUUGAGGAUACUGGAACAAAAACAUUUACAUACACUCCUAACUGGAGUGUAAAUUGUGUAACCCAGUGGUUCUUAAAAGGAGGCAAUUUUGCUUCUUAGGGGACAUUUAGCAACAUCUGGAGACAUUUUUGAUUGUCACAACUUGGGGAGAGGGGUGCUACUGGAAUCUUUUGGGUACAGGCCAGGGAUGCCACUAAACGUAAGCCCCACACAACAAACAGUUAUCUGGCCCCAAAGGUCAAUAAUGCUGAGGCUGAGAAACUCUGGUGUAACCCUUGACUCAGCAAUCCCACUUCUAGGUGCCUAAGGAAACAAAUCUUUUUACAGAGCUCCACACAUAAGGAAGUUAAAACAUUUUAUUUGUACUAGUGAAAACAGACCUAAAUACCUAACGAUAGUAGAUUAGUUGGCUAAAUCAUGGCACAUCCAUAUGGAGUCAUGAAAAAUCAUGUUUUAGAUUAUUUAAUGACAAAAACGAUUUAUGACACAUUACCAAGUAGGAAAAACUUACCAACAUAAUGAACAGUAUAAUUCCAUUUUCAUUGUUAUAUGUGUUGAGUAUAUAUGUAACUACAUAUGAAUAAAUAUGAGCUAUAUACACAUAAA